rnacentral:lncRNA from 1 species
UUACAAGUGAGAAACUGCGAAGGCUGAAAAGCAACGUGAAACUGAGUUAUUUUUAGAAUUAACAUGAGAAACAACUCUGUGGAGCUUCGUACUGGUUGCCCUUACAUUCCACACUGAUGGAAUGUCUUUAUUUAAGCUGUGACCUGGCCAAGCCACCAAGAUCAAGCCCUGCAGUUUGGCUGGCGUGCUGGGGCUGUCAUGUGAUAUCCGUUGACUCAGAGACUGUUGGGCAAUCAAUAGCUGCUAAAUCAGUCCUGCUGAAUGAAACUCCAGUGUAAAGCUACUGACAUCAACACUCAAGUGACAUCCCCCCGGGGUAGUGAUGCUCCACCAUGAUGGUCACACACCAGCGCAGCAGAAAAGAUUUUGCCACCCUCAUCACCAGGAAUCCCACUGAGGACUUCAAACAUCCAGCUCACAGUAGGCUGCAGCCAUCCAGGGGAGUUUCAUAGCAGCCUAUCUCUCAGAGUGCAUUGGGAGGAAAUUAGAUCUACACGUUUCCUCUGGCAUGGUGCAGUCUCCUGAUUUCCUGUGGGGCAAUAACUGAAUAAAAG